rnacentral:pre_miRNA from 1 species
GUAAUACUCUCUUCGUUCGGAAUUACUCGUCCAAAAAAUGAAUGUAUUGAGAUGUAUUUUAGUUGUAGAUACAUUCAUUUUUAUCCAUUUUUGUGACAAGUAAUUCCGAACGGAGGAAGUAGAAU